rnacentral:tRNA from 1 species
GCCGGAGUGGCGGAAUUGGUAUACGCACACGACUCAAAAUCGUGCGGGGAAACCCAUGAGAGUUCAAGUCUCUCCUCCGGCACAA